rnacentral:rRNA from 1 species
UUAAGUGACUAAGCGUACACGGUGGAUGCCUAGGCAGUCAGAGGCGAUGAAGGGCGUGCUAAUCUGCGAAAAGCGUCGGUAAGGUGAUAUGAACCGUUACAACCGGCGAUACCCGAAUGGGGAAACCCAGUGUGUUUCGACACACUAUCAUGUCAUGAAUACAUAGUGGCAUGAGGCGAACCGGGGGAACUGAAACAUCUAAGUACCCCGAGGAAAAGAAAUCAACCGAGAUUCCCCCAGUAGCGGCGAGCGAACGGGGAGGAGCCCAGAACCUGAAUCGGCUUGUGUGUUAGUGGAAGCGUCUGGAAAGUCGCGCAGCAAAGGGUGAUAGCCCCGUACACUAAAAUGCACAGGUCGUGAGUUCGAUGAGUAGGGCGGGACACGUGACAUCCUGUCUGAAUAUGGGGGGACCAUCCUCCAAGGCUAAAUACUCCUGACUGACCGAUAGUGAACCAGUACCGUGAGGGAAAGGCGAAAAGAACCCCGGCGAGGGGAGUGAAAUAGAACCUGAAACCGUGUACGUACAAGCAGUGGGAGCACCUUCGUGGUGUGACUGCGUACCUUUUGUAUAAUGGGUCAGCGACUUAUAUUUUGUAGCAAGGUUAACCGUAUAGGGGAGCCGUAGGGAAACCGAGUCUUAACUGGGCGAAUAGUUGCAAGGUAUAGACCCGAAACCCGGUGAUCUAGCCAUGGGCAGGUUGAAGGUUGGGUAACACUAACUGGAGGACCGAACCGACUAAUGUUGAAAAAUUAGCGGAUGACUUGUGGCUGGGGGUGAAAGGCCAAUCAAACCGGGAGAUAGCUGGUUCUCCCCGAAAGCUAUUUAGGUAGCGCCUCGUGAACUCAUCUUCGGGGGUAGAGCACUGUUUCGGCUAGGGGGCCAUCCCGGCUUACCAAACCGAUGCAAACUCCGAAUACCGAAGAAUGUUAUCACGGGAGACACACGGCGGGUGCUAACGUCCGUCGUGAAGAGGGAAACAACCCAGACCGCCAGCUAAGGUCCCAAAGUCAUGGUUAAGUGGGAAACGAUGUGGGAAGGCAUAGACAGCCAGGAUGUUGGCUUAGAAGCAGCCAUCAUUUAAAGAAAGCGUAAUAGCUCACUGGUCGAGUCGGCCUGCGCGGAAGAUGUAACGGGGCUAAACCAUGCACCGAAGCUGCGGCAGCGACGCUUAGGCGUUGUUGGGUAGGGGAGCGUUCUGUAAGCCGUUGAAGGUGGCCUGUGAGGGUUGCUGGAGGUAUCAGAAGUGCGAAUGCUGACAUAAGUAACGAUAAAGCGGGUGAAAAGCCCGCUCGCCGGAAGACCAAGGGUUCCUGUCCAACGUUAAUCGGGGCAGGGUGAGUCGACCCCUAAGGCGAGGCUGAAAAGCGUAGUCGAUGGGAAACAGGUUAAUAUUCCUGUACUUGGUGUUACUGCGAAGGGGGGACGGAGAAGGCUAGGCUAGCCGGGCGACGGUUGUCCCGGUUUAAGCGUGUAGGGGGUGUGACCUGGUAAAUCCGGUUGCAUAUCAACCCUGAGGCGUGAUGACGAUGCACUACGGUGCAGAAGUAGUUGAUGCCCUGCUUCCAGGAAAAGCCUCUAAGCUCCAGGUAACAUUGAAUCGUACCCCAAACCGACACAGGUGGUCAGGUAGAGAAUACCAAGGCGCUUGAGAGAACUCGGGUGAAGGAACUAGGCAAAAUGGUGCCGUAACUUCGGGAGAAGGCACGCUGGCAUGUAGGUGAAGUCCCUUGCGGAUGGAGCUGAAGCCAGUCGAAGAUACCAGCUGGCUGCAACUGUUUAAUAAAAACACAGCACUGUGCAAACACGAAAGUGGACGUAUACGGUGUGACGCCUGCCCGGUGCUGGAAGGUUAAUUGAUGGGGUCAGCCGCAAGGCGAAGCUCUUGAUCGAAGCCCCAGUAAACGGCGGCCGUAACUAUAACGGUCCUAAGGUAGCGAAAUUCCUUGUCGGGUAAGUUCCGACCUGCACGAAUGGCGUAAUGAUGGCCAGGCUGUCUCCACCCGAGACUCAGUGAAAUUGAACUCGCUGUGAAGAUGCAGUGUACCCGCGGCAAGACGGAAAGACCCCGUGAACCUUUACUAUAGCUUGACACUGAACAUUGAGCCUUGAUGUGUAGGAUAGGUGGGAGGCUUUGAAGCGUGGACGCCAGUCUGCGUGGAGCCAUCCUUGAAAUACCACCCUUUAAUGUUUGAUGUUCUAACUCGGCCCCAUAAUCUGGGGUGAGGACAGUGUCUGGUGGGUAGUUUGACUGGGGCGGUCUCCUCCCAAAGAGUAACGGAGGAGCACGAAGGUUAGCUAAUCACGGUCGGACAUCGUGAGGUUAGUGCAAAGGCAUAAGCUAGCUUGACUGCGAGAGUGACGGCUCGAGCAGGUACGAAAGUAGGUCUUAGUGAUCCGGUGGUUCUGAAUGGAAGGGCCAUCGCUCAACGGAUAAAAGGUACUCCGGGGAUAACAGGCUGAUACCGCCCAAGAGUUCAUAUCGACGGCGGUGUUUGGCACCUCGAUGUCGGCUCAUCACAUCCUGGGGCUGAAGUAGGUCCCAAGGGUAUGGCUGUUCGCCAUUUAAAGUGGUACGCGAGCUGGGUUUAGAACGUCGUGAGACAGUUCGGUCCCUAUCUGCCGUGGGCGUUGGAAGAUUGAGAGGGGUUGCUCCUAGUACGAGAGGACCGGAGUGAACGCACCACUGGUGUUCGGGUUGUCAUGCCAAUGGCAUUGCCCGGUAGCUAAGUGCGGAAAAGAUAAGCGCUGAAAGCAUCUAAGCGCGAAACUUGCCUCAAGAUGAGUCUUCCCUGGGCCUUCAAGGCCCCUGAAGGAACGUUUAAGACUAAGACGUUGAUAGGCUGGGUGUGUAAGUGCAGCGAUGCAUUGAGCUAACCAGUACUAAUGAUCCGUGAGGCUUAACCUU